CACCAACAGACGCAUGAGCAAAUCCAAAUAUAUCUGCAAGGCGAUGCAGGAGAAGGCGACUGUAUGGAUCCAUUGGCUCCAACUCUAGGAUCCCAUCUGCACAUGUAUCAUCCUGAAGGAAGUUAACCAAAGACUCUUCCAUGGAAAGCACGAGAUGCUUGCAAGGAAGAUUAUCCCUCACAAGAAAAGCCAAUUCCUCCACCAUGGCAAAUUGGGUGACGCUCAUAUUGAACCAAAACUAUAAACAAUACACAGCAAAAUAAAGCAAAAACUGAGAAAUUUGCUAUCAGAGAGCGAGGGAGGGGUGGUUGAAAGGAAGAUGCGCUAGAAUCUGGAGAUCUUCAAGCCUGGUUAUGGUGAGUAAUACGGCGUCGUUGCCGCGUCCCAGACACAAGUCAAGCCCUUUUUUUUUUUUUUUUUUCUAAAUUGUGG
rnacentral:misc_RNA from 1 species